GACUCAGUCUCCGACACACGCUCAGAGCACUUCCUGCCUCUGGUUGUAUGUGUGCCUGUGGUCGUUUUGGUGUUGGCAGCCGUUCUCUUCCUCCGCUGCAAAAAGAAGACACAAAGGAAGGUUGAUGGAGUAACCCUUGAUUACAGAAACACAAAGAUUGAACCUUAUGAAAACUGCGUUUUUCACACACGUGAAGACGCCAUCUACGAGAGCCUCGAUCCAAUCAGCAGGGACCAGGACCCAACCUACUCCACACUCUCACACACUCACACGACUCACAAGGGG